AACGAACGCUGGCGGCAUGCCUAACACAUGCAAGUCGAACGAGACCUUCGGGUCUAGUGGCGCACGGGUGCGUAACGCGUGGGAACCUGCCCUUAGGUUCGGAAUAACUCCCCGAAAGGGGUGCUAAUACCGGAUAAUGUCUUCGGACCAAAGAUUUAUCGCCUUUGGAUGGGCCCGCGUUGGAUUAGCUAGUUGGUAGGGUAAAAGCCUACCAAGGCGACGAUCCAUAGCUGGUCUGAGAGGAUGAUCAGCCACACUGGGACUGAGACACGGCCCAGAAUCCUACGGGAGGCAGGAGUGGGGAAUAUUGGACAAUGGGGGAAAGCCUGAUCCAGCAAUGCCGCGUGAGUGAUGAAGGCCUUAGGGUUGUAAAGCUCUUUUACCCGGGAUGAUAAUGACAGUACCGGGAGAAUAAGCUCCGGCUAACUCCGUG
rnacentral:rRNA from 1 species